rnacentral:rRNA from 1 species
GGUCAAGUGAAGAAGCGCAUACGGUGGAUGCCUUGGCAGUCAGAGGCGAUGAAAGACGUGGUAGCCUGCGAAAAGCUUCGGGGAGUCGGCAAACAGACUUUGAUCCGGAGAUGUCUGAAUGGGGGAACCCAGCCAUCAUAAGAUGGUUAUCUUACGCUGAAUACAUAGGCGUAAGAGGCGAACCAGGGGAACUGAAACAUCUAAGUACCCUGAGGAAAAGAAAUCAACCGAGAUUCCCUUAGUAGUGGCGAGCGAACGGGGACUAGCCCUUAAGUGGCUUUGAGAUUAGCGGAACGCUCUGGAAAGUGCGGCCAUAGUGGGUGAUAGCCCUGUACGCGAAAAUCUCUUAGUCAUGAAAUCGAGUAGGACGGAGCACGAGAAACUUUGUCUGAAUAUGGGGGGACCAUCCUCCAAGGCUAAAUACUACUGACUGACCGAUAGUGAACUAGUACCGUGAGGGAAAGGCGAAAAGAACCCCGGAGAGGGGAGUGAAAUAGAUCCUGAAACCGUAUGCGUACAAGCAGUGGGAGCCCACUUUGUUGGGUGACUGCGUACCUUUUGUAUAAUGGGUCAGCGACUUAUUUUCAGUGGCGAGCUUAACCGAAUAGGGGAGGCGUAGCGAAAGCGAGUCUUAAUAGGGCGUCUAGUCGCUGGGAAUAGACCCGAAACCGGGCGAUCUAUCCAUGGGCAGGUUGAAGGUUGGGUAACACUAACUGGAGGACCGAACCGACUACCGUUGAAAAGUUAGCGGAUGACCUGUGGAUCGGAGUGAAAGGCUAAUCAAGCUCGGAGAUAGCUGGUUCUCCUCGAAAGCUAUUUAGGUAGCGCCUCAUGUAUCACUGUAGGGGGUAGAGCACUGUUUCGGCUAGGGGGUCAUCCCGACUUACCAAACCGAUGCAAACUCCGAAUACCUACAAGUGCCGAGCAUGGGAGACACACGGCGGGUGCUAACGUCCGUCGUGAAAAGGGAAACAACCCAGACCGUCAGCUAAGGUCCCAAAGUUAUGGUUAAGUGGGAAACGAUGUGGGAAGGCUUAGACAGCUAGGAGGUUGGCUUAGAAGCAGCCACCCUUUAAAGAAAGCGUAAUAGCUCACUAGUCGAGUCGGCCUGCGCGGAAGAUGUAACGGGGCUCAAACCAUACACCGAAGCUACGGGUAUCACGUAAGUGAUGCGGUAGAGGAGCGUUCUGUAAGCCUGUGAAGGUGAGUUGAGAAGCUUGCUGGAGGUAUCAGAAGUGCGAAUGCUGACAUGAGUAACGACAAUGGGUGUGAAAAACACCCACGCCGAAAGACCAAGGUUUCCUGCGCAACGUUAAUCGACGCAGGGUUAGUCGGUCCCUAAGGCGAGGCUGAAAAGCGUAGUCGAUGGAAAACAGGUUAAUAUUCCUGUACUUCUGGUUAUUGCGAUGGAGGGACGGAGAAGGCUAGGCCAGCUUGGCGUUGGUUGUCCAAGUUUAAGGUGGUAGGCUGAGAUCUUAGGUAAAUCCGGGAUCUUAAGGCCGAGAGCUGAUGACGAGCUAACUUUUAGUUAGCGAAGUGGUUGAUGCCAUGCUUCCAAGAAAAGCUUCUAAGCUUCAGGUAACCAGGAACCGUACCCCAAACCGACACAGGUGGUUGGGUAGAGAAUACCAAGGCGCUUGAGAGAACUCGGGUGAAGGAACUAGGCAAAAUGGCACCGUAACUUCGGGAGAAGGUGCGCCGGUGAGGGUGAAGGACUUGCUCCGUAAGC